rnacentral:rRNA from 1 species
UACGUAGGUCGCAAGCGUUGUCCGGAUUUACUGGGCGUAAAGAGCGCGCAGGCGGCUGGUCAAGUCCGAUGUGAAAUCUCCCGGCUCAACUGGGAAACUGCAUCGGAAACUGAUCGGCUUGAAGAUGGGAGAGGGAAGUGGAAUUCCCGGUGUAGUGGUGAAAUGCGUAGAUAUCGGGAGGAACACCAGUGGCGAAGGCGACCGCCUGGACGACAACUGACGCUGAGGCGCGAGAGCGUGGGGAGCAAACAGG